GAUGAACGCUGGCGGCGUGCCUAAUACAUGCAAGUCGAGCGAACAGACUAGGAGCUUGCUCCUUUGACGUUAGCGGCGGACGGGUGAGUAACACGUAGGUAACCUACCUAUAAGACUGGGAUAACUUCGGGAAACCGGAGCUAAUACCGGAUAAUAUUUCGAACCGCAUGGUUCGAUAGUGAAAGAUGGCUUUGCUAUCACUUAUAGAUGGACCUGCGCCGUAUUAGCUAGUUGGUAAGGUAACGGCUUACCAAGGCAACGAUACGUAGCCGACCUGAGAGGGUGAUCGGCCACUCUGGAACUGAGACACGGUCCAGACUCCUACGGGAGGCAGCAGUAGGGAAUCUUCCGCAAUGGGCGAAAGCCUGACGGAGCAACGCCGCGUGAGUGAUGAAGGUCUUCGGAUCGUAAAACUCUGUUAUUAGGGAAGAACAAACGUGUAAGUAACUGUGCACGUCUUGACGGUACCUAAUCAGAAAGCCACGGCUAACUACGUG
rnacentral:rRNA from 1 species